rnacentral:rRNA from 1 species
AGAGUUUGAUCCUGGCUCAGAUUGAACGCUGGCGGCAUGCCUUACACAUGCAAGUCGAACGGCAGCACGGGUGCUUGCACCUGGUGGCGAGUGGCGAACGGGUGAGUAAUAUAUCGGAACGUACCCUAGAGUGGGGGAUAACGUAGCGAAAGUUACGCUAAUACCGCAUACGAUCUACGGAUGAAAGUGGGGGAUCGCAAGACCUCAUGCUCAUGGAGCGGCCGAUAUCUGAUUAGCUAGUUGGUGGGGUAAAAGCCUACCAAGGCGACGAUCAGUAGCUGGUCUGAGAGGACGACCAGCCACACUGGAACUGAGACACGGUCCAGACUCCUACGGGAGGCAGCAGUGGGGAAUUUUGGACAAUGGGGGCAACCCUGAUCCAGCAAUGCCGCGUGAGUGAAGAAGGCCUUCGGGUUGUAAAGCUCUUUUGUCAGGGAAGAAACGGGAUUUUCUAAUACAAAGUCCUAAUGACGGUAUCUGAAGAAUAAGUACCGGCUAACUACGUGCCAGCAGCCGCGGUAAUACGUAGGGUGCAAGCGUUAAUCGGAAUUACUGGGCGUAAAGCGUGCGCAGGCGGUUGUGCAAGACAGAUGUGAAAUCCCCGGGCUCAACCUGGGAAUUGCAUUUGUGACUGCACGGCUAGAGUGUGUCAGAGGGGGGUAGAAUUCCGCGUGUAGCAGUGAAAUGCGUAGAGAUGUGGAGGAAUACCGAUGGCGAAGGCAGCCCCCUGGGAUAACACUGACGCUCAUGCACGAAAGCGUGGGGAGCAAACAGGAUUAGAUACCCUGGUAGUCCACGCCCUAAACGAUGUCUACUAGUUGUCGGGUCUUAAUUGACUUGGUAACGCAGCUAACGCGUGAAGUAGACCGCCUGGGGAGUACGGUCGCAAGAUUAAAACUCAAAGGAAUUGACGGGGACCCGCACAAGCGGUGGAUGAUGUGGAUUAAUUCGAUGCAACGCGAAAAACCUUACCUACCCUUGACAUGUACGGAACUUACCAGAGAUGGUUUGGUGCUCGAAAGAGAACCGUAACACAGGUGCUGCAUGGCUGUCGUCAGCUCGUGUCGUGAGAUGUUGGGUUAAGUCCCGCAACGAGCGCAACCCUUGUCAUUAGUUGCUACGAAAGGGCACUCUGGUGAGACUGCCGGUGACAAACCGGAGGAAGGUGGGGAUGACGUCAAGUCCUCAUGGCCCUUAUGGGUAGGGCUUCACACGUCAUACAAUGGUACAUACAGAGGGCCGCCAACCCGCGAGGGGGAGCUAAUCCCAGAAAGUGUAUCGUAGUCCGGAUUGUAGUCUGCAACUCGACUACAUGAAGUUGGAAUCGCUAGUAAUCGCGGAUCAGCAUGUCGCGGUGAAUACGUUCCCGGGUCUUGUACACACCGCCCGUCACACCAUGGGAGCGGGUUUCACCAGAAGUAGGUAGCCUAACCGCAAGGAGGGCGCUUACCACGGUGGGAUUCGUGACUGGGGUGAAGUCGUAACAAGGUA